AUGCUUGUUGAUGAGUAUGGGAGCAAUACCGGUUUUCACAUACCAAACUUAAUUUGCACAAAAGUACUUGAAGACGAUGAAGGAAGCUCCUCUGAGGACAUUAGUUUUGAAGCCGUCACACCUGAACAUGAGGCUCCAGGUGUUGAUGAGAAGGGAGAAUCUCAAAUACCUGUAGAGAAGCAUGGGCUCAUCCUUGAAGAUGUUGAUGGCGAGCUUGAGGUGGAGGAUGUAGCUCCACCAUCUGAAGCUGAAGCUAGUACCAGAUCCCAACCAGAGCGAAGUGAUACCAACUGCACACCAUCUUAUCACCAUCCUUCAGAUAACGGUCCUCCCCUCCCGAACAAUUGGCCUCCAUCACCCCCACCGUUGCCAUCAUCUCCUCCACCUGUUCCCGUUGCUCAGAGAACGCAGUUGCAGGCAACUUCACAAAUGGCAUCUGAUCCAGUUGGGCCGUAUCCGGCUGUUGCUACUUAUAAUGUUCAAAGUCAGCAGCCACAUUCUAUUGUGGAGCACCCACGCAGCAUGAAUCCCUCGGUAGCUCCGUUGCAGCCUCCAUCAUUCUGCAAUUCAGGAUAUGGUGUGCAUCGAAAUCAGAUUGCGCCACUCAAUUCAACUGGACCUCAUGGCAAUUUCGCCACACCACCAGCACCAUACCAUGGAAAUAACUACCAUCAACGUCCCACUGCAUCGAUGCCUAAUGAGGGAUAUCAUAUGCAGCGACCGCCCCCUCCGCCUCCAAGUCAAUUCCCUCAUAUGCCAUCAGAACCUAAUAAAAGACCACAACAAUGGAGUAAUAACUCCUUGUCUUAUCCCGAGAGCCAUCAUUAUAAUGGGCAUGAUCGAGAUCAUCACAGACAUGAUAACAUGCAUCACGGGAAUGAUAGGAGACACCACUUGAAUGAUAGAGGGUAUCGCCAUGAUGAAAGAGGACAUCACUUUGACGAGAGAGCUAUUAGGGGGGCGAUGCUCCAUGACCCUGACAGGGGAAGAUUUCCUCCUUUUCCGCCAGGACCACCUGCUCCAGACCAUUUUAAAGCAUCUGCAGCGCCAAUGCAAUAUGGAUGUCCAUCAGAUCCUCCGCCAGGUGGGUGGUCUAUGGAUCCUCAAGUUCCUCAUGUCGCAGGAGCACAUGGUAGCUGGAGGCCAAGAUAA
rnacentral:rRNA from 1 species